AUCUGGUUCAGGACGAACGCUGGCGGCGUGCCUAAUACAUGCAAGUCGAACGGUCUUUCUAUGGAAGCUUGCUUCCACUGAGAAGAUAGUGGCGAACGGGUGAGUAACACGUGGGUAACCUGCCCAUAAGAGGGGGAUAACAUCCGGAAACGGGUGCUAAUACCGCAUAGUUUUCUUGAUCGCAUGAUUGAGAAAGGAAAGACGGCCUUUGUGCUGUCGCUUAUGGAUGGACCCGCGGCGUAUUAGUUAGUUGGUGAGGUAACGGCUCACCAAGACGAUGAUACGUAGCCGACCUGAGAGGGUGAUCGGCCACAUUGGGACUGAGACACGGCCCAAACUCCUACGGGAGGCAGCAGUAGGGAAUCUUCCGCAAUGGACGAAAGUCUGACGGAGCAACGCCGCGUGAGUGAAAGAAGGUUUUCGGAUCGUAAAACUCUGUUGUCAGAGAAGAACAAGUUGGAGAGUAACUGCUCCAGCCUUGACGGUAUCUGACCAGAAAGCCACGGCUAACUACGUGCCAGCCGCCGC
rnacentral:rRNA from 1 species